UUCACCUGCAAUACAAAAAGCAAAAGGAGAAGAAUAAGUAAAAGAAGAAGCAGCAGCAGCACUAGAAGAUAGUAAGCGGAUAUUGAUGGCGACCGAAACUCACGUAAAACGCACACAAAAUCAAUUAGCACCCCGAUUCCGAGCCCGAACCCGACCACGCCCACUUGGCACAGAUGUCCAGCUACUGUUUAAUGUUGUUGUAGAUUUAAGAUGCGUUAUAAAACUUACCUUUGGGCACCACACAGCCGGCGAGCAUUGCGACGGUGCCGAACAGUUCCGUGGAUUUGGCAGCGCCCAGCAAACGUGUGGGAUCGCCAGGACCUGCAGGGCGAAGCGUAAGAGGAAGCAGCAGCGGGUUAAUUAGUAUGUCCUGUUUACCCUGGCCAAGGUGUGACUUUGGCGCAGCAACAACAAUAACAAUUACUCACCGGGCGGACAAACAUCAAUGAAACGCGUCAGGAAGCCCAACGUGGUCAGCAGACUCAACAUGACGCUUUGGUUCUGCUCAAUGGACUCGCGCACCUUCAUGCAACGACGCGAAAGCAUUCCAAUUAGUCCAGUGAUCACCGCAUAGCUGGAAAAGCAAGAGGGAGACAGUAAGAGGGAGGAAGAUUGUGAGUGACAAAAGAAAUAUACAAUUGAGUUGCAUGUCAAAAUCAGAAAUAGAGAAACAAACAUUGAAAGAGAGAAAUAUAAACAAAGAGAGAGAGAGAGAGAGAGAGAAAGAGAGAGAGAGAUAGAGAGAGGGAGAGAAAGAGAAAGACAGAGCGAGAUAGAGAGAGAGAUAGAGAGAGAGAGAGAGAGAGAGCGAGAAAUACAGAAACUUGAGAAAGAGUAAGAGCUACAACAUAAAUCACUUUUUCAAUCCACCGUGAAAGUUAAUUUUCUUUUUAAUUAUUGAUAGCUGUCAAAUUCCACGUAUAUUUCACCUAUUCCGAUAAGUGAAAACGGUGGAUUUACGCUGGAGUAGGUGAAACAUAGAAUUUCAACCCACAACUGUUUUCUGACAACCUCGCGAACCAAUAUUGCGCAAACCACCCAAACUAGUGGAAAUUAGGUGGAAAGUUUGUGUACAUUUGUUAAAACAUUUUUCAAAAUAAAGCACUGAUCGCUCGGAAA